AUGGCCAGCUCACACCUGGCUGAUCUGUCCCAGGCCUGGGACAACUACAUGGACUGCCGCGCGCAGGGCGCAGAUCUGCAGGUCAGUCUUCAGUGCUUGGAGAGUUUUCUGUGCACAUUUCACUGUGUGCGACAACUCAGUGACCCGAGAGCAAAGGAUGCGCUCAAAUUCUGGUAAGCCAUCUUCUUUUUCAUGUUUCAGUUGACAGUCUGUGUUCAAAGAAACAGUUGCCCAAAAAUUGUGAAACUCAUUUUUUCAUUUGAUCACGACUGUCAAGCAGAAUUUUGAAUAACAUCUUUGUUGUUUUGACUCGCUGCAUCUUUGUCAGAUAUUUUAGGCACAGAUCACAGUUCCUGAUCAGUGUUUUUUGUGUAAUUUACUCAAUUACAGAUCCGCCCUCAGUCAGUUGAACCUUGUUUAGAUGAACUAAAAUCAUAGCAGCCAGUGACUAGAGCUCACGUUAAUUAGCAUUGUGUUGAGAGAAGCUGAUUGUUUGAGGCGAGUGAUAAAAGGCUUUCUUUGUCUGGCCCAGUGCUGUGUGCUCAAUUAAGUGUGUUUUCUCAGCUUCUAAUCUUUAUCUCAUGAUCAUGUACAGUUCCUGGAACUUUAGCCGAAACACAGGAACUGGCAAAAGCUGCAACCCUUUCCGAUGUGAAUGCAUAUGAAUCCCUUUAACCCUUUCAAAUCUUUUAUCUGCUUUGAGUGAGAUAAUAAAGUUAUUAACUUGUUGAAGCAAUAGUUCACCCAGAAAUAAAAACUUGUCUUUAUUCACAUCUUUUGUUGUUGCAAACUUGUCUGAUUUCCUUAUUUUCCAUGGAUAUUAAUUCAUUUUUCCUUUGUCCCACUUUACCAGAGGCAUAUUGGCAAACUGGGACAGGAAGACACUGGUAAAGUGGGACAGCAUAUAAAGUUAUGAGUUUAUUAUUAACUUGCAUAGCAAUUAUAAUGAUAAUAAAAUGGGAGUGUAGUGCCAUAUAUAUAAUAUAGGAUAUUUACAUGUGUGUAUUGCACAGUGCAGAGUAUUUACAUUUCAUGAAAUGUGCAGUGUUUAACAAAUUUAUUAGACCACCACCCAGUGUAAGGUUUGUGCAACAGCUGCCCUAAACUAACAGAACAAGCUUUCAUAAUCUGUUAUUGUCCAAUAUGAAAAUCCUACUUGGACUAAAAUUACUACGUAACUAAUAUUUCUUAAUU
rnacentral:lncRNA from 12 species